AUGAAACUGAGUAUCUCCUUCCCAGCCACCAGAUGUUUUGUGGUACUUAUAAGUGGUAGAAACCACAAACAGGAUUUUCCCAUGAAUAAAGGUGUCUUGAACCAUGGCAGAGUGACACUGCUGUUUUAUAGGCCAAGAAUAACUGAAGAGAAACACAAGUCUGUUUCAGGAUGCAUUGUAGAUGUCAAUCUCAGGAUUCUCAACUUAGUUAUUGUGAACAAAAUUAGAGAAAGAUAGUCCUGAACUGUCAGAUACUACUGUAUCUCAGUGUCUGAGUCCCAAAAGAUGUAGCAGAAUCUGGAAACUUUUCAGUCUCUCUAAAGCAUAUGACAUCUGCCAACGUGUCAGACCAUCUUUAAAUAAGAAGGUAAAAAACCCAGCAACAAAGUACACAAGAUUCAACACCAUGUUACUCAAUGUUGUGUCCUACAACACAAACACUCACAUUUAGCUUGGAAUAAACAGUGUACUAAGAGAAAUAAUGAGGAACUGCAGAAUACACUAAGCUUUUGUCUAAGAGAAUGAAGGAAACCAAGAAUAUGAUAGGAACAGCUUUUCAAGAGUCAUAGUCUGUCCUCACUGAGGAUCUUCUACAUCUGAGUCU
rnacentral:lncRNA from 1 species